rnacentral:rRNA from 1 species
UGGGGGAAUUUUGGACAAUGGGCGAAAGCCUGAUCCAGCAAUGCCGCGUGUGUGAAGAAGGCCUUCGGGUUGUAAAGCACUUUUGUCCGGAAAGAAAUCCUUGGCUCUAAUACAGUCGGGGGGAUGACGGUACCGGAAGAAUAAGCACCGGCUAACUACGUGCCAGCAGCCGCGGUAAUACGUAGGGUGCAAGCGUUAAUCGGAAUUACUGGGCGUAAAGCGUGCGCAGGCGGUUUGCUAAGACCGAUGUGAAAUCCCCGGGCUCAACCUGGGAACUGCAUUGGUGACUGGCAGGCUAGAGUAUGGCAGGAGGGGGGUAGAAUUCCACGUGUAGCAGUGAAAUGCGUAGAGAUGUGGAGGAAUACCGAUGGCGAAGGCAGCCCCCUGGGCCAAAUACUGACGCUCAUGCACGAAAGCGUGGGGAGCAAAACAGGAUUAGAUACCCUGGUAGUCCACGCCCUAAACGAUGUCAACUAGUUGUUGGGGAUUCAUUUCCUUAGUAACGUAGCUAACGCGUGAAGUUGACCGCCUGGGGAGUACGGUCGCAAGAUUAAAACUCAAAGGAAUUGACGGGG